rnacentral:rRNA from 1 species
AAUAUAUUAAAUAGCUGCAGUAUAAAUAACUGUACUAAGGUAGCAUAAUAAUUAGUUUUUUAAUUGAAAACUAGAAUGAAAGAUUUAAUGAAAUAAAUACUGUCUCAAUUUAAAUAAAUAAACUUUUUAUUUAAGUAAAAAAUCUUAAAUAAAAUUAAAAGACGAGAAGACCCUAUAGAAUUUUAUAUUUAUUUUAUAUUAACAAAUAAAUUAAUUUAAUUUAAAUAUUUAAUUGGGGAGAUUUUAAAAUUAAAAAAACUUUUAAUUAAAUUUACAUAUAUUAAUGAAUAAAAUAUAUUUUUUAAAAAAAUAAAAAAAAAUUACCUUAGGGAUAACAGCAUUAUUUUUUUUUUAAGUUCAUAUUUAUAAAAAAGUUUAU